UGGAAAUGAACAAAACCAUACUAGAC
rnacentral:piRNA from 1 species